rnacentral:tRNA from 1 species
AGCGGGAAACGGGACUCGAACCCGCGCAUUCAGCUUGGAAGGCUGACGCUCUGCCACCUGAGCUAUUCCCGC